rnacentral:rRNA from 1 species
GACGAACGCUGGCGGCGUGCCUAAUGCAUGCAAGUCGAACGAGAGCGACCGGUGCUUGCACUGGUCAAUCUAGUGGCGAACGGGUGAGUAACACGUGGGUAACCUGCCCAUCAGAGGGGGAUAACAUCCGGAAACGGAUGCUAAAACCGCAUAGGUCUUCGAACCGCAUGGUUUGAAGAGGAAAAGAGGCGCAAGCUUCUGCUGAUGGAUGGACCCGCGGUGCAUUAGCUAGUUGGUGAGGUAACGGCUCACCAAGGCCGUGAUGCAUAGCCGACCUGAGAGGGUGAUCGGCCACAUUGGGACUGAGACACGGCCCAAACUCCUACGGGAGGCAGCAGUAGGGAAUCUUCCGCAAUGGACGCAAGUCUGACGGAGCAACGCCGCGUGAGUGAAGAGGGUUUUCGGAUCGUAAAACUCUGUUGUUAGAGAAGAACAAGUGCUAGAGUAACUGUUAGCGCCUUGACGGUAGCUAACCAGAAAGCCACGGCUAACUACGUG